AUGUGGCUGGGGGAGGAGGAGGAUGUACAGUCCACAGUAAACGGAGCCGCUCAGAGUUCAUUCAGACACGAGGACAUCAUGUCAGCUUUAUUCUUUUUAUCUUGGCUCAUUGGAGUUUGUCUGGGUGUUGAAGUUUACCAAACUCCUCCAGAACUUCUCCGAAGACCCGGAGAGAAAGUCCAGCUGGUCUGCAGCCAUGAAAAGACCGACUACACGCUCAUGCAGUGGUACCGAAGAUCCCCUGGAGAGCGAGUUCUGAAACGCAUCGGACACGUGAACUACAACAACAAACAAUAUGAGGACAAUUUCAAAGAACAUUUUAAUAUCACUGGAGAUCUGAGCGGAGCGACGGCAAAGAAUGUCUCUCUGUUUGUAGACGACCUGAAGGCCCCCGAGCACAGCGCCGUGUACUACUGUGCAGCCAGCUAUGCACACUGACUGCACACCCCCUCGGCCUCAUACAAAAACUCUGAAACA